GACUUGAUUGUAUUUCUAACAAGGUCCCAGGGGAUGCUGAUGGUACUGGACCAGGGACCACAUUUUAGGAGCCACUACUCUGGGGAAACAUCUCAUCUGAGAACAAUGGCCGUAGACCAAAUACACUGGCGGGGGGGGGGGGGGGCGGGAGGACUUUGGGUAGGUGGCUUUUUACAUGCUCUUCCAUUAAGGACAUAGGAUCUGUGUCCCUCUUGAAUCCAGGUGGGCUUUUGAUUGUUGGAGCAAUAGAAUACUGUGGAUGUGAUGCUGUGUGACUUUCCAGGCUAGGUCAUAAACAACCAAGCAGCUCUUGGGAUGCUCAUUCUAGGAGAAAGCAGCCAUCACGUAAGAAGACCAGUUACCUUGAGACUGCUGUGUUAGAGAGUCUCUGGCUGACAGUCCUAAUGAGCCUGCUUCCAGCCAUCCCCACCACGGUGCCAGACAUUGUCUCUGCCUUUGCCAUGACAAUGUGCUGGGCUAGGUUGCUAGAGGGUAAGGCACAAGGAGCCUGCCUGAACUGCUCCAGCCGUGCUGGCCAAGUCCUCCUAGAUCAGCUGAGUCUGCAAACUGCCAGGCAUAUGGAGUCCAGUCAAGACCAGACUGUCCAGCCACACCCAGUCUUAAUCGCCAAUCCAGAGUUGUAAGCAAAAUAAAUGCUUAUUUUAAGCCACUGAA